rnacentral:ncRNA from 19 species
UAAAGUGCUGACAGUGCAGAU